AUGCCAAUUGAAAACGGGAAUUUAUUAGAAAUGUAUUGUUUUCACAAUGAAAUGUCAACCAAAGCCAUUAUUGUCAUGUUAGAAUCAGCAUAGCACAUAUCGAUAGCUAGAACUAGCGAGCUAACGUCGCUAGCGUUAGCGAUGUUAGCUGUUAAUGUUAACUUUUCCAGUAACUAACUUAACCAUCAUGUGGGAUUUUUCGAAUGAUAGUCAAUAUCAUAUCUAGCAAUAAUUCAGUCUGAUAUGUCGUUAUGAAUGUAGAGUUUUAGUUUGAAUGAAAUAUCAGACGCAAGUAGCUUAGCUUAAAGUGGCUGUUACCAUGCAGGCUGAAGGCUGAAGUUAGCUAGCAGACAGACACAGGUGAAAGUUGUUAACGUUAGCAGCUAGUUAGUAACAUUACUUUGCGAACUCCAUGGGACAUGGGUAGUUAACAUUAAACUUAAUACAUGUAGUGUUGAUGCAUAAUAUGUAGUGUUGCUAUAACUGGAAAGAGGACCAGUAAAACAAAUUAAUGAAGUAGGCUGAUGUGUAAGUUAUCUCACCCCUAAUUUAGGAACUGUAGUUUUGCAUAGUCAUGCUCAUAGAUCCGUCAUAUAGUGGAUGUGAAAGGGGAGCAUUUGGGGAAUUUCAAUUACCAGAAAUAUCAUGCCGAUAAGUAAAGGGAUCUUUAGUUUGUGAAGGGUAGUGUUUGGCUAAAUGGUAUUCAUUUUAUAGCCUUUAUUUGCCCAAUGUUUGGUGACUUAAAUUGAGGCAUGUGUUUAUUUAAGAUGCAUGUGACUGUAGUAGUGCUUCAGUGAUGGUCUUUUCAUGUUCUGUGUGUUUUGCAAUGUAUUAAUUAAUGUAAGCCUCUUUCUGUUCCCUCUGUUAGUAGGUGGUGUGAGGACUGCUGCCCUGAGAACGCUGUGUCAGAGACACUUAGGCUGUGUGCAUUUUGGAAUGUUCCAAAUGUGUGUCACUUCCAUAAGGAAGAAGUUCCAAGCCUGCAAGGCGAAGUCGGUCUACCCUGAUGGCACUACCUGAUGGCACUACCCUGAUGAUGUCUGUUAGCCAUGGCUGCUGCCCUCAACAUGGUGAGCCAUCCAGAAGUCCCAGCCUGGAGCCAGAGGCUGCUAUUGCAAGUCAGAUGGGAGAUGGCCUACAGUAUGUUAGGCAUCAGAAAAGUGGUGUUCGCAUGAAGGCAGAGUUGCCGCAGGCAAUUAUGAGAUUAGACACUUGACAUUUACUGCGAAAGGUACCAUCAGAGCACCUCUCCCUACCCUGCAGGAUACCUAUACCAGAAGAGUACAACAACGGCCCAAAAGUAUUUCAAAAGACAUUUCACGCUCUGACCACGGACUGUUUAAACCACUGAGGUCAAGCAGACGUCUCUGUUCCCACGUGGCAGACUGAGGGAACACCCACAAAACAGACUGGGGAUGAGUUUCUUUACUCCGCAUCCUGUACACACACAACUCCUUAUACUACAUUACAUAGACUUGCCAGUUGCCAUACUGCACUUACACACACUGCGCUUUUAACCCCCUUAUCUGUGUCAAAUCAGAUAAGGUUGUGGUUGUGUUCAAACCAUGUCUACUGUUGUCUGUCAACAUCCACUUCAGUCAUACAUUUGAAAUGUCUUAAAUAAAUAACAAAAGUUAAAAUUG